GUUCCCGGCGUUCCCGUUCCCGGUUUUCCCGGUGUUUCCCGGCGGGCGGGGCUCUCCCGUUCAUUCCCGGCGUUCCCUCCAUUCCCGGUUUUCCCGGUUUUCCCGGUGUUUCCCGGCGGGCGGGGCUCUCCCGUUCAUUCCCGGCGUUCCCUCCAUUCCCGGUUUUCCCGGUGUUUCCCGGCGGGCGGGGCUCUCCCGCCGUUGCCGCCCCCGGGGCCGCCCCCGCCGCUCCCGGCUCCGCCGCCGCCGCCGCAGCGCCAUGUACGGGCUGUGCGGCUGCUGCGGCGCGCUCCGGCCCCGCUACAAACGCCUGGUGGACAACAUCUACCCCCAGGAGCCACAGGAGGGAUUGGUGAAGUCCAACAUGGAGAAGCUGUGUUCCCGUCAUUC